AUGCUACAGUUUCGGCAGCAUAUCUACGAAAAUCAGAACGAUGCAGCCAAGAUCAGCAUGGCCUCUGCGCAAGAAUUACAUGUAAAUUAGUCAAGCAUUCCUUUUGGUU